rnacentral:rRNA from 1 species
AUGGGCCCACUUGAUAUUCUGAAUUUUUUGAAGAAGCGCUCCUGAAUCUAUCCUGAUGUUGUUAUUGCAUACAGAAUUUUGUUAACCAUUCAUGUGACGAUUGCAUCUGUCGAAAGGAGCUUUUCUAAACUGAAGUUUGUUGAAAUCCUAUUCAUGUGA